CUCAGUUUCCUCUUCUAUAAAAUGAAGAUAAUAGUACCCCACUGAAGGGUCAACAUGAGGAUUAAGGAGACAUCAUUUGAAAUGGAGGCUGAUAUACAACUUAGAAGCAACUUGAGGCAGGAUGGGAGCAUAAAAGACAGCCAGGAUGCCAAAGUCUCUGAGCAGUGAGUAGGAGUCUAAGAAGUUGGAAAGAUUCAUGGACCUCUUCCAGUAUGUGAAAGCCACAACUGUGGAGCAAAUGGGAAAGCAGCAAUGUGAGAACGGAUUAAUACACAGAGCAUCCAGAGAGAAAUAUCCAGCAAUCAGUUGGAGCUGAAAGGCCCAAGAAGGAGAGGGA